UGCCAGUCUUGAAGGUAGAGAAGGCUGUC
rnacentral:piRNA from 1 species